ACCUUAAAAAUCCGAUAAUUUUAUCCUAUCGCUUUUACAUACGCAAGUAAAUAAAUUUAGAGUAAGCCAAGCAUAAUUAAACCUUAUUCAUAUGGUGUUAAGAAAUUCUCAACUGAACGCGACAUUACAUUUGUCACACAAGUACAAAAACUACGUUGCUAAAAUUCAAGUUACAAAUCCUAAUUAAUCUCUAUUCAAAUGUAUACCUUAAUACAACUAGUGAAGUUCGAAUUUCGAGUGUUGCACGGGUUUAGUUACGUCUCUUCGUCUUCUAUGCUGUCCAUCACAAUGCUGCGUCACUCAGUCUUAUCUUGAAGCGCAAUGAAGAUUGCAGUGAUUUUUGUAUUCAUUAUUUUGGCGAUAUCACACUUCGGCUUUUCUGACACGAGAAGUUACCAUGAUACCUAUUUCGUUGGAGUUGUAAAGAGCCUAAGAACCAGCAGGGGAAGAAAACCGAUGUUAAAAGUGUUGCUUCUCAAAGGGAAAAAUAAGAAAAAAGUUGAUUUCCAUUCAAGCAACUGGAGCAAAAUGGAGUGGGUGGAUAGCAGAAGACGAAUAAUUCCAAUUAUUUUAAACAAAUAGAAUUAAAAAAAACAAA